rnacentral:tRNA from 1 species
AAGAAAGAAGCAUUAGUGGAUUAAUGCGAUUGGCUUGAAACCAGUGUAUGAGGGUUCGACUCCUUCCUUUCUUG